rnacentral:lncRNA from 1 species
UUUUGUCUUCAGGUUAUUGCACAAUGUUUACUCUAAAUUAUUUACUAUUUGUUUGUGAAGUGCAAUCAAUUCAGUGGUUGUCUUGCUAAGCUCCUUUUAUUUUCCUUUUAUUCUUUGUCAAUACUUUCUCACAGUUGGAAAUGACUUAUUUGAUACUUCUCUUUAUGCUAUUAUACGUUUUGUCUAUCAAAUCUAGCUUCCCAAACAUAUUAAUUGAGAAAGCCACCGUGAUAUCUUUACUCAUGUUCUUGGUAUUGUUUUUGUCAUUAUCAUUAUAAAAAGAUGAGAUAUUGGGUGCUAACGUGGUUGAUUUGUUUAUGCUAAGGUGAAAGGCUAGGUUUAAAAUGAAUAUAUAUUGGUAGUAUGGUUAACCAUAACACCUUGAGUUUGUUUGUGGAAGGGUCAUUCUUUGCUAUUAUUUUAUCUUUUAUUUUUCAAAGAUCUGAGCAGCUUGCAGUCUUGUUUUAGAGGUAGCAAGAUGCAGGGAGAGACCUUUUAUAUCCCAAAGGCGUACAUUUAGUAUAUACAAAUGGAUUGCCUAAAGUGGAGUUGUCUAUUAACUCCAAUGUAACCACUUUAACUUUUAUUGUUGCAUCUAUCAACAAACAUAUGAAUAUACCUAUUUACACCAAUUAAAUACUAUCCGAAACUUGUGGUAUUAACUAUUAGCCAGUUUUCACUCUUUUUAGUUUUGAACAGAUUCCUGAUGCAUGCUCAAUUGUGUACUACAUGAUACAGACUGCUUUGCUCUCUGUCCAUGACCUUUUUUGCCAAUACGUGUACAUUAUGUACAAUGAAAUUGAUGGUAGAAUUAAUUUUACUAAUGUGGUAAUAGUCUUUUUCAAUGUGCAGUAACUGAGGACUUCUCUUGUCCGUUUUGCUUGAUGCAAUGUGCGUGCUUCAAGGUGGAUAAUGAUGUAACUUUUGUGCUUGUGUUUGUCUUUCCAAGCUCAAUUUGAACUUCAACCUAAACUAUAUAUAUAUAUAUAUAUAUAUAUUUAAUGUUUGUUUUGCUUUCAAUUAAUACAUUUUGCUAGAUGACCCUCACAAAAGAUAUUUACGUAAUUGUCUUGGCAUUUGUUAGAUAUAGAUCAGUACUUAAUCUUUUAUUGGAAAUGUUCAGUCAAUUAAUUAUGUUGAUACCAGCAAUGGUACUUUUGUUUCUGUUUGCAGGGUCUGCGGUAUCAUUUGUGCUCAUCACAUGAUUUAUUCAACUACGAGUUCUGGGUUGGUAAUUUAGAAUAUCAAGUCAGUUGCUGCUUAUGGGGACCUUCUGGAAAGACUAGUCAAGAAACAUUUGUUUUGUAGGUUACUGACGAUUAUCAGGCAGUGAACAUCUCUGUGAAAAUUGAUACACUGACAUCUGAGGUUGGAAUUCAUUUUCUUCAUGCUGGAAGUUCUAUGGACUUAUUUUCUUCUUUGAUGUUAUGUUGCCUUGUGCAAAACUAACAUUUUCAGCAAAAUUGACUUAAAAGGAUAUUAGAUUACUGGUACCUCAUUUUUACUUAGAAUCCUCACAGUACGUCUUUCCCUGGACCAAUUAGAUUGUGGGUCAUGUAUAAUCUUGCAUUUGUCUGCAGAUACUUCCAUAACAAUGUAAUUUAUUAUGUCUAGAAAUUUUUUAAAGCCCAUUCACCAACGCUGUGUUUAGCUAUGGGACCUGUUAGAACUUCUCGUUUGGCAGAUAUAAUUUCUCCAACCAUUAAGCAUUGGUAAGCCAUAUGAUCUUAUCUCAUCUUGAUGUUCUUGUUACAGAUUGUAGCAGGUGGAGUAGACCCACGGCUACAAACAUUUUUCUUCUGGUAGGUUUUAUAUCAUUGGGUACAGUGUGUAUCUCAUAGUUAAUAUCCCUUUUUUUAUGAGCAUUAAUAAUGAGAAUUACAAAGGCGAAAUGAAUUGUAUGUGCAGCGCAAAGCCACGAAGUCGUAAGCGAAAGAACCUUGCAGAGCAUGAAAAACAAGUUAACAUACAAUUCUUGGAAUUGGACUCGCCGGGAUUACCCACUGAUGAUGCAAAUGGAGAGUUUGCUGCAAAGGAUGAUGGUAAUAACUUUUUUCUCAAAGCCUUGUAGGGUUGUUUUAGCAGAUUUCUUUAUUUUAAACAUAGAGUUUCCAAAACAAUGCAAUGGUUGUGGAGGUGUUAUCCAUAUGAACUCAUUAGUUCUUGAACUUCUCUCUCCCUCAAUGUCUUGAUUUAUGUUUUGCUCUCCAUUAGGCCGGUAGCUUAAGAUAGUGGAAGAGCCAUUUUUGAAAAAUAAAUGAAAGCCUCAUUUAGGCCCUUUUAGUCAUUGGCCUUUUGUGGACCCACAUUCUUUCUUUGCCCCUUUUCUCUUAUGCUUCUUGUUUUCCUUCUUUCCUCAUUUUCACCCAUCUUUUACUAUGUUUUACUUUGAGGGGGUUGACAGUGGGAUAUGAGUUGAGUUUAGUGCUUAGAACACAAGCAAGAAAUACCAGUGUAAAUAUUCAUUUAUUUUGGUUUCCUCUCAUUUCAUGCUCUCUUGGAAGGUGGAAAACUAACGUUAUGGUUCUGAAAUUCUGUAAAGGUGAGAGGGAUUCCAAGUUAUCUCCUAGUGGAAGAAAAUUGCCAAAUGGAAGGGAUGGAGGAAUAACCUCUGGUUUUAAUGGAGCAGAUUGCAUUGAAGGUGUUGCAUCCAGUUUCAAUGGUCCUGAUGUACCAAUUGCCAUGGCUCAAUCUUCUAUGGACCCUGAGUGUGUUAAAUCAUUAUCUGGAACUGAUGCUGUAGCCCCUGCUAUGCUGCAUGUUGUAAAAUCUAGGAAGUUAAGCACAGAACGGUCAGACCCUAGAAAGUAUAUAUACCAGUUUGCCGCUUUAUUUCGUUAAUAUUGCUAAGUGUUGAUAUUUCCAUCUUUCCCCUUUUGAUUUGUUUUCCAAAAGCAUUGCUUCUCUUUCCAAGGAAGUAUAUUACCAUGCGCAUACUAAAGUCCCAAUAUUUUGUGCAUCCUUGUUCACUUUGUACCUUUCAAACUUUAUGCAGCCGUGCACUUCUCUCCAAACGCCUGUUCUAUCAUUCUCACCGAGUUCAGGUAACUGACAACAUCAGACCAGUUUUCUAUCUGCCUGUUCCUUCUGUUCAAGUUUGUCGUGCAUUUUUGCAUUGUUGAUUGCUGAAUUUUCUUCGGUAUGGCAAGGAAAGACAUGUAUGAAUGUUAUAUUCCUUACAGUUACUGAUGAAACUCCAAUAGAACUUUGGUACUUCUCAAAUCUACUAACUGGUUUCUAUUGAGAGUUUUCAGAGAAUAGGUGUAUUCUGGUUUAUAAACAUGUUUGUAAACAUGUGGCUCAUUACCUUUAGUGCUCAUAAGUAGAUAACAGUAUUUUGAAGAUGUUUAUGUUGGGAUCUUUGUUGUCUUUAAAAUUAGGAAGGAUGAUUUUCUUAAUGGUCUAUGUGUUGAAUAUGUUCAUAUGACUUUUUAAGUUGGGUUUUUAUUGAUAGACAUUUUUUAUUUGCUUCAGCAUGUGGAGUUACUUAUUACUGUAUAAUUCUACUUUGCAUCUUUGAUGAAUAGGAUGUUUCAGAGCUUUUUGAUAUUGUCUAGAGACUAAUUUAUGCUUAUACUGCAUUUCUUUUUCUUAUAAUAUCUUAUACCUUAAUCCAUAUAGUCUUUCUUUCCUCUCAACUCUUACCCAAUAAUUGAAUCAUUCUUUUUUGCACUUGAAGCCUAUGGCGAUAGAACAAGUAACGUCCAAUGAAGAUAGUGAGGAUGAAGUUGAUGAUGACAUUGCAGAUUUUGAAGAUCGGCGGGUAUGCGUGUAGAUUUGGUUGCUAUGUUUUGGUUCUUUCCUACGAUAAGAUUAUUGUUAGGCUAACAAAAAUUGCUUUCUUUUUGCCUUCCAAGUUAUGUGAAAUUAAUUUAAAUAUUUGAAGUAAUAUUUUGUAUUCUGUCAAGAAGGGUUUACUCCCCAACUCCUUUGCAUUCUUCUACAUUGAGAAAGCAAUGCGUUCUGAGGAAAGGACAUAGAGUAGGGCAUUAUAUUCUCUUAACUGCAGAGGCAUGGGGAUCAAUCUUUGAAGGAUCACUGUAAGAGUGUGUAAUGAGAGCAUGAAGAGUUCAAGUCAUUAUAACGAGUUUCUUAUGCUUAAUCUCACUAUGACAAGUAUUUACUGGCUUUGAGGAAAUUGGAUUGAAUUAGAAGAUAAGAACACCAUAUAGGUGGCUGUCUCUUCUUCUUACCUGUCAAACAAUAAUUUGGUCCUGUUUACUUCUGGCUUAUUGUUAUUUCUUGUAUGCUUUAUCAAGUUUCUAAAUAUUUAUCCCUUAUAUUUUGCCAUCAUAGAAUUAAUUCAACUAUGACUGUUUCAUGGUUGCUUUUGGCUUAGUUCUGUGGAACAGUAAGUGUAACCGGUUUCAGCUUCACCUCCUCAACACAUCCGUUUCCCCUUCCUUGUGUGCUCUCUGUCCCAGAUCUUGAACUGUUGAUUUUGAGGUUUUGUCUCAAAUAAAAUCAAAGAACCAGAAGAGUGAUUACAAUUUAUGCAAAUAUUAUAUCCAGAUUUCUGAUGCCUAACAAAGCUUAAGUUGGACUCUUAUAUGAAAUGUUUUCAUUUUAUGCUGUUAGGAACCUGGAAACAUUAUAUUAAAUUGGCAUGUUGCAGAUGCUUGAUGAUUUUGUGGAUGUUAGCAAAGAUGAGAAGCAGCUGAUGCAUCUUUGGAACUCCUUUGUCAGAAAGCAACGGUAGUUAUUGUUUCCCACUUAAAGCUUUCAAUUUUAUUUUUUUUGGGUCGCCCCAGUUCCAUAUAUUCUUUGUUUGUUUCCUUCAAUUCUUUUAUGUCAAGAUGUUUAGGAAAUUAAUGUAUAGGAGGUGAACUAUCUUAUGCAUUUUUCAUGCGAAAAAGAAAGGAAAAAAGAAAUAUCUUAGAAGGGUAUAUCCCACUGUGACAGGGUCCUGGCUGAUGGUCAUGUUCCUUGGGCAUGUGAAGCAUUUUCCAAACUUCAUGGACGGGAGCUUGUCCUCUCUCCAGCUCUAUUUUGGUGUUGGAGGCUGUUCAUGAUAAAACUGUGGAAUCAUGGCCUUCUUGAUGGCUGCACAAUGAAUAAUUGUAAUAUGAUUCUUGAAAAAUGUCGAGAUGAGGAAUCAGAUACUGGGAAAAGCUGAAGAGGACAGACUAACAAUCUCGGCUCGUGGGAGUGCAGAAAUAAGACAGUGCCUGUAACAUUGGUUCUUCUGUUACUCAAUUCUUCCUGAUAUCCUUUAACACAUUUUUUCAACACAUUUUUUCUACUUGUAUCAGUAGAUUGUAGAUGGAGUAAUUAAUUCUUUCGCAUACAAAGAAGUCAGCUGUAGUGAAUCGGCCAACUUGUCACUGUUGUUAUCUCAUUAUUCACUAUUCAGUGUUAUUGACACGAUAAUCGCCAUUUAUGAUUUACCCUUACGGAGGCAACCUAGGCGCCAAUCUAGUUGGUAAGAGUCAAUUGUAAAUGUUGGAGCGGGUUGAUAUGUUAUAUAGCUCGGUAUGUUUAAGUGAAACUUGAUUUGAUCUUAUUCUGAGUACUGAUUGGGAAGUUGUCUCUGUAUCUAUUAAAAUAUUGAAGAGCAAAGUCGCGCAAGCUUUCAAUGAGAAGGAUGCGGCAGUGCUUAGACAUUGCUUGUGUUCAGUUCUGCGAAAGAAACUCAGGUAUGGCAAAAGAUGUCUUAAUGGUUUUAUAAACUAAGGCAACUAUGCUAAUAACCAACUAUGCCAUACUCACACAUUAACUAAUAACCAACUAUGCUACAGCAUUCCAAUGGAGACCUCAGAUGCACAAGCUCAAGGACCACUGAAAUUAAAAAACCUUAUUGAGUAUGGCAAAAGAUUUCUUCCCACGUUUUGUGCAUCCAAGCAUCAUCGUCUGCAGGGGUUUCAAGUUAAAACGGGAGUGCUUUGCAGAGUUAUGACGUGCAGCCCAGGCCCAGAUUCAUUUGCCUCUGCGAUCCCUAAAGUAGGGAUGGUAAUGGAGCAGAUAUGGAUUGGAUCUACACUGCUUCAGAUCUAGAUCCGUAAUAAAAAUUAAGAUCCAUAUCUACUCCAGAUCCGUCAUGGAUCUAUAUUUUUCGCUCCAUACCUAAAUCCGAAACAAAAAAUAAAGAUCUAUAUCUGCUCCAAAUCCAAAAAGAAAAAUUAAAAUCCAAAUCUGCUUUAAAUCCAUCAUGAAUUUUAAAUCUCAAUAAUAAGAGAUCAAUAUUUUUUUAGAAAGAAAAUUUAAGACUAAAAUGCAUUGGUAACAAUUAAAUUAUAUAAUUUAUAUAAAAAAUCUAAUAAGUAUUAUAGCUUCUACUUUUACACCAAAAUAAACAAAUAAGAAAUAUAUAAAAUAUCGAUCAAAAGUAAUUGCAGGAAUAAGAUUAUUAUAAUAUUAUAAUGUCUCCUUUACCAUCUUGAUAUCCAUUGCACACCAUCAUCAUUCCUAUAUCAUUAAAUAAUAACAUAUAAGUUAAAAAUGAUUUAUUAUAUUCAGUGCUUUAUUAUUUUUAUUAUGAUCAUAUUUAACUAAAUAUAUGAUUAACAUAAUUAUUUCAUAGUUGAUAGCCACCAUUGAUUAGUGAUUAUACAAAAUAAUGCUGUACGGCCAAGGCGGAUGUACGGUACAGCAGCAAAACCACCGACUAACCAUACCCAACUAAUAAUAUCCUAAAUAACUUGGCCCACAUACAUUUAACAUUUAUUUAAAAAAAAUUCUAGCAAUCCAGCAUUUCAUGGACCACAAGACUAUAUAUAUAUAACCAACUAAACAUUACUUGGUCCACAUGACCAAACUUGCCCCCACAUGGUACCAUUUCCUUCAAACAUAAAAAAGACAAUUGAAAAGGGGUAAAGCUGUGCACAAAGGGCAAAGAAAUAUGAAAGAAGAAAACUUCUUCUGGAUCUCUAGAAAACCUUUUCGCAAAUUCCAUUUUCAAAUUAAAGCCCUUUCUAAUAGGGCAGCUGUAGUGAGGACGGUUGGUUUGCCCCGGUGACUGAACCUGCGUCUUCUCUUCACAACAACACAAUUUUCAUCAUCACUGCAUGAUGAGUUCCAUUACACUAAUAUUUUUGCGUGAUCUCCCUUGAUGGCCUUGACCUUGACCUUGUGUAGGCACUAGUCAGGAUCGCAGUAGCUAGAGUCAUAAUCCUCGCUCUCAGGCACAGCUAUGUUACUUGAGUUUUUAACGUAAAUUCUUUUCUGCUUUCUAGUCCUCAUCUUAAUUAUAAAAUAUUUUCUCCUUCAAUUUAAAGAACCCACAAGCACCAGGCACUAGCGGAUUCAAUUUUUGCCAAAUUUUCUUUGGUACGAAAAGGAGCUGAAACAGAGCAUUGACCUUGGUUAACAUAGAAACCCAAAUUAAAUGUAUAAGAUAGUAUACAAAUACUAAUAAUAAAGAAUCAAAUCGCAAUUAAAUUAUAUAAUUUAUAUAAAAAAUCUAAUAAGUAUUAUAGCUUCUACUUUUACACCAAAAUAAACAAAUAAGAAAUAUAUAAAAUAUCGAUCAAAAGUAAUUGCAGGAAUAAGAUUAUUAUAAUAUUAUAAUGUCUCCUUUACCAUCUUGAUAUCCAUUGCACACCAUCAUCAUUCCUAUAUCAUUAAAUAAUAACAUAUAAGUUAAAAAUGAUUUAUUAUAUUCAGUGCUUUAUUAUUUUUAUUAUGAUCAUAUUUAACUAAAUAUAUGAUUAACAUAAUUAUUUUAUAGUUGAUAGCCACCAUUGAUUAAUGAUUAUACAAAAUAAAUAAGAUUAUGAGAAAAUAAUAGAAAAAUAAACUCAAGUCUAUGAAUUUUCCUAACAAUUAAAGAACUGAUCCAAUCAUUCAAAUGAAGUAGAGAAGCGAGAGUAGACUAAAGAGGAAUAAAGAGACUAAAUUGUAGAGUGAAAAACUUAAAAAAAUUAGGCAGGCUAUCUUAAUUUUAUUUUACACUUGAUAAAUUUUUGUCUUAUUAUCAAUUAAGUACCUUUAAGUUUUAAGAUUCUUAAAUACAUGUUAAUGAAUAAAUUUUAUCAUCAUUUAUAAUUACAUAAUUGUUAAGAAUUUUUUAAAAUAAAAUUACAUUAAAUGGUAAGUGGAUAUGGAUUUGGAUUUAGGUAUUAAGAUAAAUCCGAAUUGCUCCUGAUCCACCUUAGAUCCACACAUCGAUAUCCAAAUCCGAUCCAAAUCCAUUUUAAUCCGAUCCAAAUCCGAUCCAAUUGGAUUUGGAUCACAUGAAUCUUGGGUCUGAUCCGAUCCAUUGCCAUCCUUACCCUAAAGGCUAAAGCUGUGCACAAAGGGCAAAGAAAUAUGAAAGAAGAAAACUUCUUCUGGAUCUCUAGAAAACCUUUUCGCAAAUUUGAUUAACGUGGCAUGUUCUUGAGUUUAAAUCGAAUCUAUGACCCUUGGCCAUGCAUGAUUUUUAUCUGUUGAUAUAAGCGUGUCCACAUUCUGUAUUCUCUAGUAAAGGAGUUUGUGCAUUUGGCUAUUAGUAUCCUCCUUUGACUUAUUAAGGGAAAUUUGAAAUUAUUGUGCAGGGACUUUAUCCACUAAUAACGCAAAUAAAAUUGUUAGCUAUUGACUACAAGAGGAUGAUUUGUUGUUAAAGUGAAAAUUGAUGUCGAGUAAAGGAAAAAUUCCCGAAUAUUUCCUGUGUGGAUACCCUCUCUCUUGAUUAAAUGAGAGCAGCACAUUCUGCUUUCUAGUCCUCAUCUUAAUUAUAAAAUAUUUUCUUCUUCAAUUUAAAGAAGCCACAAGCACCAGGCACUAGCGGAUUCAAUUUUUGCCAAAUUUUCUUUGGUACGAAAAGGAGCUGAAACAGAGCAUUGACCUUGGUUAACAUAGAAACCCAAAUUAAAUGUAUAAGAUAGUAUACAAAUACUAAUAAUAAAGAAUCAAAUCAUGCUAUCGUAAGUCAUAACCAAUUCUUAUUAUUUUUGACACGUUAAUUUUCCAUGUUUAUCACCUGGACGUUUCCCCCCCUUAUUUACUCAGAUUUACAGUGUUCAGCCGUAAAAAAUCUGGAAUCUUGAAGCAUAACAAGUAACGGACAACUAGCUUAUCAUUUACAGUCAUUUAAUUAGUAACAAUAAAAUUGCAUAAUUCUGCCCUUGUGUAUGUGCUUAAAGGAUUGUUCGCACCCCUAUGGUGUAUUAAUGGGCUUAAUAAAAUUAGUAGUCCGUUAUAUUUGUACAAAGAAGAUAUGGUACCCAUUUUAAAAGAUUAUUUAAGAUACCCCUAAGAAUUUCGUCGUUUUAAAUUCUUGACACGCAUACCUUUGUUUGUUUUUUUUUUUUUAAGUUUCAAACGCUGCUCAGGCGCUCAUCAGGAAUCAAUGGUCGUCUUAGAUCUAAAAUAUUGAAAAAAUAUCAUGAGUAGCAUGGGAUUGAAUAUUCUUACGUAGGGUAAAAGUUUAAAAAAUCCUCCAUCGUUGAAAUAUUGACAUUCUUAUUGUUCUCCAUCGUUGAAAUAUUGACAUUCUUACUGUUAUUUUUUUCUUUUUGAUUUUUUUAAUAAUAUUAUCUUCUUAAAAUAAUAUUUCUUUUUUAAGACAUUAUUAAAAAAAUAGAUUAUUAAUUUAUCCCCAAAAUAAAACAAAAACAAAAAGAAUAUAUGUUAAUUUUUGUGAUUAAUAUAUAGAGAAAAGCCUGUUAGAUGAUGUCCCUUUCAAGCUUGGGAUUUCUAUUCACAAAAAAAAAAAAAAAGAGGUUUGGGGUUUCUAUAUUUUGGCCCUUGCCGCACCACUUCCUGAAUGGCGUAUGGCGAACUUGUUCUUUCUUACAUCAUUUCCAUUCAAGCAUCGUCAUCUUCUUUAGGGGGUUCAAGGUUCAAGUAAAAAAAUGCAAGCUUUUCGUAGCCUUUUCCUCGAACCAGCCCAGUACCAUUCUUAGUUGCCUCAUCAGUCUUCGUAGCUGUACAUAAAAGAGCAAAGAAAUUGAAAGAAGUGUGUUAUGCAGAUGAUGAAACACUGCUGGAGCUUGAAAAUUUAUGAAAAUAGAGAAAGACCUGCGCUAGCUGCGUCGUGUGUCACCAAGGACUUGUGUAAUCUGACGGCGCUUGGAAACAUCAAUGUGUUAUACUUGAUUAAUUCCGUCAUCAAAUUACUCUCAAUGUGGGUAAAUCCAUACUUGUUGAUCCACAUUGGGACAAGUUCAGGGACAGAUGGAAUUACAAGGUUUUCCACAUUGAGCAUACGAAGAGCCUGAAAAUUAGAUUCGCAUACCAGCACCGGCGGUUGCACUGGCGGUUUGAAUACUAAUAUUGCAAAUCUCAUAAUGAUGACUAAUCAGAGUUCAAUUCUUAGUUGCAGUACUACACUUACAAAAUUAAAAUGUAAAUUUUUUACUAUAAUUAAUGUAGUAAAUAAUGUGGCAUUAUAACAUCUUCUCAUUGUGUCACAUGAGUACGCAAAUUAUUAUAUCUUAAUUAUAUAAGGCCAAGGCGGAUGUACGGUACAGCCCCUCCCCCCCAAAAAAAAAGUGAUGAUAGAGUUGCAAACUCUUUAUCAAAUUUAUUUUGUAUAAAGUGAUGUGAUCUAAAAGGCUCUUCAAAUAAGAUUUUAUUACUUAUUUGAAGAGCCACAUCAAUAUUUAAAGCUCCAAAAGACACUACAAUUAAGAUUUUUUAAAUAAGAAUUGAUUCUCUCUCUUCAAAUUUGGAGAGUUAAUUUCUCCCUCUUCAAUUUAUAUUUUAUUACUUUUCAUUGAAGAAAGAGAGAGAAAUGCUUUAAUUGUUAUUGACUUUUCCUUUUAAAAAAUAAUUAUUUGAUUAAAAUAAUAUUAACUUAUUUCUAUUUGAAGAGUCUUUUGGAGAAUAUCAUAUGUUUUCACCUUUCUAUUUGCCACAUAGGUAAGCAAAUAGGUAUUUGAAGAGUAAAAUUUAUAGAGACUUUGGGAGAUGCUCUAAAUUUAUUCGUUGAAUGAAAUACAUAAAAUAAAAAUAGAUCAUGUAAACCAACAAUUAUUUAAUCUAACUAAUUAAAUUAUACCACAUUAAUUUAUACAACUGUUUUUUUACUAUAUCUUUAAAAAAAGAAAAAAAGAAAGAAAAUCUAUACUUUAAUUGGCUAGUUGUUUUCAUCCAUAUAUAGAAUUCUCCUUACAAGGAAAGAAAUCUAAUACUUUUAUCAUCUUUAUCCUUAUUUAGUUUUCUUAUAAAACAAUGUAACUGUAAUAGUAGUGUUCUCAUCCCAUCUACCCUUUUGUAUAGUUGUCCUUAUCCUUCUUUGGGUUCUUUUUCAGUCCUAACAUUAAUUGGCUAGCCGUUUUUUCUAAUACAGAAUCCUCCUUGUAAGGAAAGAAAAUCCGAUAAUAUUAGCAUUUUUGUCCCUAUUUAGUUCUCUCAUGAAAGAGUUUAAAUGUACUAAUAUUAUUCUUAUCCCUUACACCCUUUUGCACAAUUUUCUUUAUCCAUCAUUUUAUGUCUUUUAGUUGUCUCUUAUAUAUUUUCCUUUUUAUGAGUUGAAUAUUUAGUUAUCUCAUUAUUUGAACAAUAAAAUACUAAAACAUGCACAAAUAAAUUAUAUGUGUCACUCAUUUAUUAGUAUGCCACGUUAAUUGGAAUACAAAUUAAGAUCUAAUUAUUAGGAUCGCUAGCCCUAUUAUUUUUAUUAUUAUUAUUUAUACUUUGUUCUAUCAUAUCUUAUGUUGGUGAUUGUCACUGGAUCAUUUCUUUAAAAUGCAUACUCAAGUUGUAAUACUUGUACUGUAAAUUUCUUGAAUGACUAUAAAAUCGUUUGGACGCAAGCUAGUUUAAUUGGUAAAAUCUCUUGAGUGAAAAACAAGAAUUAUGGAGUUCAAACCCCACUCAUACGAGUGAGAAAGUAGAGUAAUGAUAGACAUCCCAAAUUUCAUCCCAAAUGAUGUGUCAUUCUUUAAGUGGUUAAUAAUUCGUUAUGAAACCUAAGUAUAUUAAUUGAAAUAUCUCACCAACUAAUUGAUGAAUACCACAUCAUUUAGAAUAAUUUUUUGGAAUAAAAAUUUUAAGAUACGAACCGUUUUUGCACAACUGAAUCCUCCUUGUAAGGAAAGAAAAUCCGAUAAUAUUAGCAUUUUUGUCCCUAUUUAGUUCUCUCACGAAAGAGUUUAAAUGUACUAAUAUUAUUCUUAUCCCUUUCACCCUUUUGCACAGUUGUCGUUAUCCAUAAUUUUAUGUCUUUUAGUUGUCUCUUAUAUAGUUGUCCUUAUCCUUCUUUGGGUUCUUUUUCAGUCCUAACAUUAAUUGGCUAACCGUUUUUGCACAACUGAAUCCUCCUUGUAAGGAAAGAAAAUCCGAUAAUAUUGGCAAUUUUGUCCCUAUUUAGUUCUCUCAUGAAAGAGUUUAAAUGGACUAAUAUUAUUCUUAUCCCUUUCACCCUUUUGCACAGUUGUCUUUAUCCAUAAUUUUAUGUCUUUUAGUUGUCUCUUAUAUAUUUUCCUUUUUAUGAGUUGAAUAUUUAGUUAUUUCAUUAAAGAGUUUGAACAAUGAAAUACUAAGCCUGCACAAAUAAAUUAUAUGUGUCACUCAUUUAUUGGUAUGCGACGUUAAUUGGAAUACAAAUUAAGAUCUAAUUAUUAGGAUCGCUAGCCCUAUUAUUAUUAUUAUUAUUAUUUAUACGGUGUUCUAUCAUAUCUUAUGUUGGUGAUUGCCACUAGAUCAUUUCUUUAAAAUGCAUACUCAAGUUGUAAUACCAGUACUGUAAAUUUCUUGAAUGAUAAUAAAAUUGUUUGGACGCAAGCUAGUUUAAUUGGUAAAAUCUCGAGUGAAAAACAAGAAGAGUAAUGAUAUAGUCACAAACUCUUGUACAAACUUAUUUUGUAUAAACUGAUAUGACGUAAGUUUAUUGGUUGAAUUAAAUAUCUCUUAGUCCACAUGAUUUAUUUAUAUUAUUUUGUAUUUUCAUUCAAUCAAUGAAUUAAUGUCACAUCAGUUUGUACAAGAUAAGUUUGUAUAAGAGUUUGUGGCUGUAUCAUCACUCUAAAAAAUUUAAGAUAUGUAAUACUACUGAAGAAAAUAUUUAGCUAUUCCUAGACUAAUAAAUAAAUAAUAAUAAUAAUAAUAAAUUCUUUAUAAAACCAAAAUAUAUUAAUUGAAAUAUCUCACCAACUAAUUGAUAAAUACCACAUCAUUUAGAAUAAUUUUUUGGAAUAAAAAAUUUAAGAUAUGUAAUACUACUGGAGAAAAUAUUUAGCUAUUCCUAAACUCAAAAAAAAAAAUAAUAAUAAUAAUAAUAAAUGGCUACACUUCACUAUAAAUUUGCCACCUACAAUCUCUCAAGUUGCAGUUAACAAGCAUACAUCUCUCUUUAUAAACCUAUCUUCUCCCCUUUCCUUUUCUUACCGUUCCAAAGCUUUUGCCAAACAAACCAGAUGAACGAUAUGCUCUUCAAAAUACUUAAAAACCAGUGAAAGCUAUUGAAUGGAGAGUCUAUUUGAAUUAUUCAAAUGCUUCAGCGCGUUUCAUAUUGAUUAUGAAACAAAAGUGUGGCCUCUUCUUAUUAGUAUAGAAGAGAGAUCAAGGUAUUUGAAUUACGUCGGAUUAGUGAUUUACCAGAAUGUUUCCGUUGAAGCUACGCAUCGGUAUUUCUUUAAUCUUAAAUUUUCUUUCUCAUUAAGUGUGAAUUUCAAGUACUACCAAUCAUGUUUGACAAAAUAUAUAUACAUUGUAAUAGGGAAAUAAAUAUUUAUAUUAUUUCUGCGAAGAUCAACGAAUGCGGCGGACACGAGAAGGUAUUCUGCGUAAUUAUAUUCUCUCUUUAUUGAUUAAAAAAGUGAUUUUUUCUUUGUUUUGGAAAAUUCUUCUCUGUUUUUUUAAAACAUGAUCGCAUAAUUAUUUUCUCUGUUCUGGGAUCAGGGAACGAGAACACCAUAAUUUGCAUAAUUAUUAACAUAUUUUUAUUGUUUUGCCUUUGCCAAAUGCAUUCGAUUGCAGGUACUAUACGACGAGAAACGGGACUGUCCUUCGUUCUUGUGGAAUCAGCUCGAUUCAUUUUCAUACUAGGGAUCAAAUCUUUGAUUCGCCACUGCUGGAAUGGCUUGAACGGAUGAACUUUGUCACACAGUGUGCAUUCAAGCUGCAGCAUAUAUAUCUUCUCCUGGGGGCUUGUGUCACCAAGGACUUGGGUAAUCUGACGGCGCUUGGAAACAUCAAUGUGUUAUAAUUGAUUAAUUCCGUCAUCAAAUUAUUCUCAAUGUGGGUAAAUCCAUACUUGUUGAUCCACAUUGGGACAAGUUCAGGGACCGCUGGAAUUACAAGGUUUUCCACAUUGAGCUUGCGAAGAGCCUGAAAAUUAGAUUCGCAUAUCCGCACUGGCCGUUGCACUGGCGGUUUGAAUUACAAGAUUUUCAACAUUAAGCUUACCAGGAGCCUGAAAGUCGAUCAGAUUCGCAUUAGAACUUGUUCCAGGCAGACAUAUAUUGAAAUGAAAAAUAUGAUACAUACAGCUGAUUAUUAGUAGCUUCAGCACCAGCACUUGUAGAUUCGAUUUGGGCGAAUAGUUUCGGCGUCAUUGUUCCUUUGUAAACCCAUGGACCCUGUAAAAUUGAAGUGAUGAAUACUCCCAAGUUAAAUGAAAACUGGUUGUUGUAAAAUAUAUAUGUACUUGAUUGAUUAUAGGAGAACACACAUAAUGAAGUGAUGAAUACUCCCAAGUUUUUGUUAAACUGAACCGAUUAGUUCACAAAAACUAAAAUAAAAAUAAUUUCAUAAAAAAAUAAUCUAAAUAAAUCAGCUCGAUUCCACUUUACUUCCCCAGAUUAUUGUAUUCAAUUGAAAUAUUUGUUGAAAAGUAUAUUUAGAUUAUCACUGUAGUAUUGCGUGUGUUUAUCAAUUAUAUUUUCAUGAAUAUGUUUUAAAAAUAAUCUAACCAUUAAAACAUAGUUAAGCUGGCAGAUUGAAUUAACCAUAAUUUUUAUCUUUAUUUUAUCUUAUACGUUUACAUUAUUGGUUUCCUAUAUUUCAUUAUUAAUGUUUCUCAAAGCGAAAAUCAUAUUUAAAUUAUAAUAAUUUAAUAUAAAUUAUUAGUUUAGCGAAAUUGGGCUUGGGGAUUAAAAGGAAAAAAUUGGGAGAUCGAAUGACAAAGUUAAUCUCUUAACCAAUAACAAUAACCGUUCAUGCAAUCUUUGAGAAAAUAUAAAAUUAAUUGCUAUUUUAAUUAAUGUUUUCAUAAAAUAAAUAAUUAAUGAACAUUAGCAAUUUUUAUAUACACACAUACUUACAUAGAAACUAAAUGAGGGGCCUGUGGAACGCAUCCAAAGGUCAUAAUUUGCUGCACAUAGCGGACAGCAGCAUGUGUAGCAAAUAAAUGAAUAAAUAAAAUAAGGUAAAGGUCAAUCUAACGCCCUAAUCCAAUUCCAGAGCUUAGUUAUAGUUCAGAAUCCUGGACUGAAAAUUCACUACAUGUAUUAUUUCAAACAGUGAUUGAAAGGAAACGGUGAUUCAUAUUAUCUAGGAUAUUUAAAAGGAGGCCAUCACUUUAAAAUUUGAACAUGCAAGGGAUAUUAUUCGGCUUUUCAAGUACCGAUCUCCAAGAAUCACUGGCCAUUAACCUCUAGGAAGGCCAAAAAAGCUUAGAAUUUGUAGAUCUUGAAUUCUUCUCAUUCUCAAGCAAUCGACAUAAAAAAUUGUAAUUAAUAGUGAAAAAAAAUGGUUGUUAUGUAAUCAAAGGUAAACAUUAAGAAAUAAUUUGGUAGCAAUGGAGGUUCCUAAUAAGAUUUAGUGGUCAAAGAAAAUUUUGUUUAGAUUGCACAUGGCCAAGGGUGGAAAAUGAGAAUAAGUAAGAAGGAGUAAGAAAAUAAGAACGAGAAAGUACAAUUAGUAGACGGGUAAGAAGAAUAUAUAGAGGCGGUGGAUAUGAAAUAUUGAAAGCGCAAGACAUGAGGCAAAUAGCGUGAAAAUCGCAAGCGAAAGAAGAAUAUUGUUUUUGGAUUUCUUCCCCCAAAAACCAUUCGUUUUCCACUACGCACAACAUUUGAAAAUGUAAUUGCGUUAAAAAAAAUGUAUAAUAAGAAUUUAUAAAUUUAUUUUGUACAAAUUAAUAUGAUGUACCUAUAUCGGUUAAAGUAAAUCUUGUGGAACAUAAACAAUAUUGUCAUGCCUAGUGACAUAACUAGACUUUAAACCCAACAAGGGUAAAUGUAAUUUACAUAAAGAAUUUGAUUUUCCUCAAGUGUUAUUAGAUAAUUUUAGAAUUAAUAUACUCAUUUAAGAUGAUUUUGAUGACGAAAUUAUAAUUUUGAGCCCUUUUUUUUGUAUAUUAUUCAAGUUGGUAGGGAGAUAAAAUUUUUAGUUGAAAUAAAAAAUAAAAUUUUUAUGAAAAAAUUAAUUCGGCCACUAUUUAUGGCACGAUAAUUCGUAUAAAAUAAAUUUAAAUAAGAAUUUAUAAUUUAGUCGCUGCCAUUAAUAUGUAACCUCAUGAUGGACUUGAACUUGUUUGUUAGUUUAUACUCUAUUAUCUUCAUUAUAGCUAUAGGUCUAUAUUAUAUGAAUUUCAUUACUGAGUUUUAUCUAAAAACUCGAAACGACAUUUAUGAACAUGAUUUUAAGAAGUCACGCUCUAGUUUUCGUAAGUAGCUCGGUUCAUUAAUUUGUAACAGUAACUAAUAAGGCCCUCUUGACAUAUUAAAAAAACUGAUUGGCUAUUAUCUUAUAAUGGUAGCUAGGUUACAGGCAUUUGGUCAAAUGUUAGAAACAAUGCAAUUUUAAAAAGCCAACGGGAUUCCAACACCCCCCAGCCCAAAAAAAUCCCCCAAAAAAAAAAGCCGAUGGUAAAAAGUCAUCAUCAAUUUUAUGUUUUGAACUCCUUAAUCUGUAAUGAAUUUUAAUUUUCCAUCUGUCUUGCGUAAUUAAUUUAAUUAUUACACACAUUAAGAUCAAGGUAACAUUUAUUUUAUGUGUAGUAAAUGACUUUUCAAUGUUUUGUUCUUUGUGUUCUUCACUCAAAAUUGUUCAAAACAGUAAUAGUAAUGGACAUAAAAUUACUGAUACGGCAAUUGCUUACUAAUCUGAUUUAAAUUCUUGUGUGCAGUACUACAAUUAUAGAGUGAAGAUGAUAAAUUUUUAUCAUAAUAGAUGUAGUCAACAAUGUGACAGUAUAACAAAGUACUGUUAAUCAAUACCAAUUUUCUUUGUUAUUUAUCAUGACAUUUCUCAAUGUGUACUAUGAGUUUAUAUCCCAAUUUUAUAAGUGUAUAAUUUUUUAGUUCUUAAAAAUAGACAUUUAAUUAAUAAGACACCCUGGUUUGAUUCAUAUACGCAUAUUCUGAUACUUACCAAAAAAAAAAAUCUGUAUGUCUAAUUUUUAGUCCUAACAUUGAUUGGCUAGUUGUUUCUGACAUUUUUGCCUAUAUAUAAAAUUCUCCUUAUAAGGAAAGAAAUCUAAUAAUAUUAUUAUCUUUAUCCUUAUUUAGUUAUGGCAUAAAAGAGUUUAAUCGUGGUAGUAUUGUUCUUAUGCGUCUACUCUUUUGCAUAGUUGUCUUUGUUAUUAUUUUGGUAAUCUAUUAAAAGAAUCUAAUUGAAUACUAUUUAUUUACCUUAGGAUUCUCUGGCUAUUAAUUUUCUCUUAUUUGUUUGCUUUCUCUCUCUCUCUCUCUCUCUCUCUCUUUUCAAAAUUCCAUAUUUAGAUCUUUCAUUAAAGAAUAAAUAGUAUAAACAAUGAAAUACUAGAAAGUGUGAUGAUAGAGUUACAAAUGCUUGUAAAAGUUUAUUUUAUACAAAUUGAUGUGGUAUAAAUUUGUUGGUUUGAUGAAAAUACAAAAUAAUGAAAAUAAAUUUGAUAUGUACGAUGUCAAUUAUACCUUCUGUACUCAUUAAAAAUUAUUUUUUUAUAUUAAAAGGUUAUGUUUUUCGAAGAAUAUUUAUUAUAUAUAUUGGUCAGUUGCUUCUAUUUUGUUAUAACAACGAUAUGUUAGAUUUAUAUUAGUUUAUUGCAUAUAGUUUAGAUCAAUUUGGUUGUUACAAAUAUAUUAAAAAGAAAUUUUUAUCAAACUGGUUAGAACCAUUAUAUAUGUUGACUUUGUGAUUCUUAAGAUAUGAAAACAUGAGGAUUAUACAAAUGAUAAAAGUCUACAAUGAUUCCAAUUAAGGAAACACAUAAUAGAUUUAUUCCUGUCCACAAUCCAAAACAAAUCUUAUUAUUAUUAUUUUUUCACUUGACAAAUAUUUUGUAUAUUCUUUAUUAUGUCUCCUUUUUUUUUUUUUGCUGAUUUUCAUUUCUUCUUUAAGUUGGUGAUUCCUGGAGCUGCUGCAUAUUCGUGAUUUGCGAGAUGAUGUUUAAUUCAGAGAUUUCCUCGUUUGGGAAUGUUACAGCUCUUGUGUAGCAUUUUGACUUUACCGAAUAAGAGACACUUCGUGAUCGUAUUGAUUUCUUGAUGUUUUUAACAUGCAUGGGACAGCUACAUUAUUAGCUUAUCUUAAGAUCCUUUUCAUUGACAAGUUCAUUGGAAAUGCUUCCCAUUUCACCCCAAAUUCUAAUUAUUCGCCUAAAAUAAGAAGAAGAAAGCUUGAUAGUGAAUCUUAUCAUUAAUCAAAUCAAGGAAAAAAAUACCUAUAACACAAUGAAGAGCACUACUUAGCUACUCAGUGAUCCAUUUAACUGCAGAAGCCAGUUUCUUAAAUUUUACUUAAUGGUAUAGUCCAAAUGAGUAAAGAAACAAAGCUAAUUAAUUGUGUUGUAUAUAAGAGGACAAACAUGACUAACAAAUGUGUUGCUUAUGAACAUCAAGUUUAUGGUUUGUUAUUUUAAAUAUAAGAUUAUAUUUAAAGAGAUUCCAUUUGUCGGAACCCGUGAAUAGCUCGGAAGCGGAGACUACAAAGGAAUAAUGAAUAUAAGAGAACAUACGGAUCUUUAGAAACUUGAUAAAGCUUAUUUAUUUUUAAAAUGUUGUUUGCUGGGACUAACAUCAACAAAAGUUUGUGUAUUCUUCUUUCUUACGUCAAAAAAAAAUAAAAAAUUGGAGUUGGAUUGUGGACCAGAUGUUAGUAUGUGAUGUAAUGAUUUAUUUCCUUUGAUAGGCUUUACAAGUCGGCUAGUGUUGACACCAGGCUUCAACAGAACCACGUAAAAUGUGUUGGCUCUACAAGUAAGUUAGAAAGUCAUUCAGUAGGUUAUUUUUAAGCUUGGCUUAAAAAUAAUCCAAUUGUUAAAAUUCUCAAAAUUGCUUAUAAUAAUUUUUUUUUAAUUUUUUUUUCAAUUAUAGAAAAAAAACUUUAUCAUUACAGACGGCCUCUGUUGGAAAAUGCUAUUUAAAAACAAGAAAACAUAUUUUUAUAACAUAUUAUGAAAAUAUAAAAUAAAAAAGAAAAUUACAAAAGUUAAAUCAAAUCAACGAUUAUUUUCGUCACUAUAAAGUUUUUUUUGUUGUUGUUGUAAUAACUAUCCCCUUAGAUAUUUAAUAAAUAGCAGCAACUUUAACCAGCUUCCUGUGGUUAACUUUAUUUGAUAAUAAGUGAAAAACUACGCAAAAUAUUAGCUAGACAAUAUCUAAGUGAAGAGGAAGUCUAAUCACAGUGAGUAAAGAUCAAGAGGAAGUCGGGGCUUAGGAACAACAAGAAGUGGAUUUUUUCUGGACGUUCUGCCACCAAAUCUUUCUUCCAUAUCUAAAUCUUCUUUCUUCAUAUCACCAGGCAAUUUCCAUUCAAAACCAUGCAAAAGAUUUGCCAAAGUUGACUGAACUAUUUUUAGCCCUAGUGCAUAACCAACGCACAUCCGCCUCCCAGAUCCAAAUGGCAAAAGCUCAAAAUUAUGGCCUACAACAUCAAUCUCUUUGCCGACGAAUCUCUCCGGACAAAACUCAUUAGGUUUCUCCCAGAGGGUUGGAUCUCUUCCGAUUGCCCAUACAUUAACAAUUACACGAGAGUUUUUGAGAAUGUUAGAGCCAGCUACUUUGCAAUUUUCUCUAGCUUUGUGAGGAGCAAGCAAUGUUAGCGGAGGGUGGAGACGCAUGACUUCUUUAACAAUUGCUUGUAUGUAUGGAAGGUUAACAAUGUCUUUUUCUUCUACCCAUUUGUUUCUUCCAAUUACUCUAUCUAGCUCAUCGGUUGCCUUUUGGAUAACUUCUGGAUUUUUUAAGAGCUCUGACAUUGUCCACUCUAAGGUGACCGCUGAGGUUUCAAUUCCACCAACUAAAAGAUCCUGAAAAUCAUCAAAAUAAUAAAAAGAAUAAUAUGAUUCAGAUUUUUAGUGCAAAAGACACUUGGAUAGUUUUAUUCAUGAUGUUUGCUUUUGUAGGACAAUGAACUAUUACUAAAAAGUUAAAAUCAUUAUAAACAAAAUUUCUUUUCAUUUCAAUGUGUGUGUGUGUGAUAUUAGUAUUCGUAUUAGUACAGUAUGCUCAAAAAUUACUAUUUGGAUUUUUAUAUUUAUACUUUUUUCUUCAGAAAACAAAAUAUUUCAUGAAUGAAAAUCAUAUUCAUUUUCUUUAUCUAUGUGCGUGUGGGUAGGGUUCUUUUCUGAAACAAAUAUGAAAUUAAGUAUAUUUGCACAUACAAUUUAAUUACCUGCAUUGAUGCCUUAAUGUGAUCUCUUUCAAGCUUGACUUCGAGAGUAGGAUCAUCAGCAAGCUGCAACAAAACAUCGACAAUAUCAUUGGUCCCAUGUUCCUUAAACAAUUUCCUCUUACCAUGGCGCUCGUGCUCAUGCAAAACAUGCUCGUAAAAUUUAUCAAUCUUCUUCUUCACAGCCUUCAUUCUCUUAAUAUUCCCUUGUAAAUCUAAGAAAGCAAGCCAUGGAAUUGCAUCUCCUAUAUCUAAAACACCAGGAAGCAAGAAUAGUUCAUCUACGAUCUCUGUGAACUGUUUUGGAGUUACAAUAUUGUUUUCAUCUUCCUCAGUAUACCUUUUCCCGAACAGCAUCCGGCUCAUAAUGGCAAGAUUAAACAUGAAAAGACGCUCUUUCAAAUGAACAGGAGUGGAAGAAGAAGAAGAAGACGAUGUUGAUGAUUUGUACAAUUUAAAUAAUAAUGCUUUUCUUUCCUCUAUCCUGAUGUACUCAAAUUGUGCUAAACUCUUUGGGCUAAGAAGUUGCGUCAUGUAAAUUUUACGAGUUUGGCGCCAAUGUGGACCAUAUGGUGCACCAGGCAUAACCAGAUAAUUGUAGUUUGCGUGUUUCCAUGCAAGAAGUGGUGGUCUACUAGCAAAAGUAACAUCAUGAGUUUUUAGUAAAAGUUCUGCUACUUCAGCUGAUGAGCCUACCACCACGGUUUCUAAACCGAAUUUGAGUUGCAUAAGGGGGCCAUAUUUUUGGGAGAGAGAUUGGAGGGAGACAUGAAGGUGUUGGCCGAUGAGGUUGAGGUUUCCGAUGAGGUGCCAUGGCUUUGGACCCGGUGGCGGCAACAAGUUAAUCUUAUUGCGAGAAAUAUGGCGGUAAUAUAACAAGAGGAGGACAGGCAGGAAAAAGGCAAGGAUUGAGUACCACAUAGUCGAGUUUGAAGGGUUAUCAGCUGUAGCACUACUAGCAGGAUCCUCCAUAUUUAAUAUAUUAAAUAAAAUCAAAAUCAGCAGUGCUAGAUUCAAAUUCUUAUUAUAUGUAUAAGGAUUGAUGAUGAUUUGAAUUAUGUUUAUGAAAUGGAAGUGAGAGAGGUAUUUAUAUCUAACGAUAGAACAACAGCCAUGAGCCAACCAACUAGAGAAAAUUACAAUUGAAUAAUUGAAUAAUUGAAUUUUAUAUUGAUUUGAUUUGAAAUUGACAGGUUAUCUUGCGGAAAAUUGUCCGGUUACUUCUUGUUGAUUAUAACAUUAUUGAUGCCAAGAUUACUUAAAACAAUCCACGGAACGUAUAGAGUGUUGAAAAGUCAAGCAUACAAUUGUUGAGUAAUUGCAUGAGAUAGUUAGCAUGCGAUUGUUGAGAGACAGCUAUCAUCCAAAUUUUGACUACAAUUGCAUGAGAAAGUUGGCAUCGAUUGCGAAGUUUGUCAAUUUAGUAAAUUGAAGACAAAUUGAAAUAGUGUGGUAGGUGAGCAAUGCUCUCUGUAAAUAGAAGGACCAUUCUUCAUUUGUUGCAUCCCAACUGUGAGAAUUGAGAGCAUAGUAAGUGAAGCAAUUUGAGAGAUUUGAGAGAGUUUCUACUUGAGUGUUCUAGUGAGAAUUCAAUUAGGUGUAUUAGGAUUGUGGGUUUUGAGAGUUUUUCCCACUUUUGUAAAUUUCCAUUUGUUAGUAAAAUCAUCUUCCAGUCUUUAUCUGUCGACGUAGGCUUUACGUCGAACCACGUAAAUUAUUGUGUUAUAUUUUUUUUGCAUUUAUUUGUCACAUUUAUAUUUCUCCAGAAGUUGCAGUCACCAUAAUAUUAGUAAUUGCUCAACCUGCGCUUUUGCAACAUAAAGAAGGUAAUAAACAAUUUUUUUAGUAUUGAUAAUGAAGUAUUCUGCAUCAUUUUCAAAAUACGACAACAAUUCAAAAGCAAUAGCAUUGAUAUUGAUUGAUAUUACAAGGGAUGAUAAUAGAGAGAAGGGGAAGAGAUCCACCUCCUCAACUAUUUCUCCUUAAUAAUUAUUUGUCAAGAAAGGUGGCUAAAUGGCUGCCAAAUUCUAGAAAUAGAAAUCUUUGAAAGCCAACCAAUCUAGAAGUUAUAAAUGUUGAAUUAGACAUAUGGUGGUGUUGCAGUAAACUUUGAAAAGAAAAAAAAAAUUAUUUCAAUAGCCAAUUUUGGCUAUAAAAGAGGGAGUUCCCUAUCGGCUUUGUGCAUUCAUUUAUGAGAAGUAAUUCCAUUUAGAGAGCAGAGAAUUUUGAGAACUUAAAUUAGAAAACUCUUGAAGUUUAGUGAUUUGAGAUAUUGGGUGUAUUGGGUUAUGGGUAAUGAGCAAAAAAUAUUACAAUACUUAUAAUUCUCAUUUCACUAGUAAAAUUUUAUCUUUCUAUUUUCGCCCAUGGAUGUAGGCUAAAAAUCCAAACCACAUAAAUUUCUGUGUCCUUUUUGUGUGCCUAUUCUUUAUUUUUCUUCUAAUUUUAAUUUAGUUGUAGUCCUGCUUCACCCAUCAAAUUUUUGAUAGUAGUAUCAAAGCUACUGGUUGUAUUUUAUGGAGUCAGGGGGUAUUAUUCACGUAUACGGUACUGUUCACGUGAAAUAAUGAGAAUCGAUCUUAGUAAAAGCAGUUCAUAGUGAAAGCAAUGGCGGCAAAAUAAGAAAUUGAGAAGUUCAACAGAAACAACUUCUUGUUAUGGAAAAUGAAAAUUGAAGGCUAUUUUGAGGAAAAACAAUUGCUUGACAGCAAUUAGAGAAAGACUUGGAGAAAUCACUGAUGACAAGCGGAAUACGAUGGACGACAAUGCAAUUUCUGAUCUACACUUGGCACUUGCAGAUGAAGUGUUAUCUAGUGUGGUAGAAGAAAAGACAUUAAAUGAAAUAUGAGAUACUUUCAUGAAACUGUACGAGGCCAGAUCGCUAUACAACAAGAUUUUUUUAAAGAGGAGACUUUAUACUAUUCGAAUGGUGGACACCACAUCGGUGACCGACCAUAUCAACACUCUGAAGACUUUAUUUUCGUAACUCACAACGUUGAGUCAUAAAAUAGAGGAAAAUGAACGUGCGUAGCUUUUACUUCAAAGUCUACUAGAUUCGUAUGAUCAACUUAUCAUUAAUCUGACGAACAAUAACCAAGCAGACAGUCUAGUCUUUAACGAUGUUGCAGUCGCUGUAUUAAAUGAAGAAAUAGGCAGAAAAGUAAAUGUUGUGCCAAAGACUAGUAAAUAACUGAUAACGGCACACCAAGAUCCACUCAAAGAAGGGUUCUUGUAUCUAAAACUAAGGUGAUCUUUACGCAGUUACAGGAUGCUUAAACAAUCCAACAACCAAAGCAAAUCAAUGAAAGAAUUUAAGAACAGAAAGAAUGACACAAAGAAAGCUUAUAGUGGUUCGGCUAUGGAAGCAAAUCAAUCAACAGCUUCCCGCCCUAAUUAACGGCUUAACAGACUUCUGAUAAGCCUCCAAGACACGUGUCUUCAUCUUGUUUCUUCUAAGUGAUAAAACGACAGUUCAAGCAAUCGUUUCUUUUAAGUGAAUCACAUGCGAAGUCACAUGUCUUCCUUGCACACACAGAUGACAUGAUAUUCUUGUCAUAUAGCCUUCUCAGGACUUUCAACUGACAUGUUAUAGUAUUGACAAAUCUUCAACCGACUUGUCGCACUUGACUAUAAACUAAUUUGUAGUUCAUAUUCAAUAGUAAAUAAGACAGAUAUGCGAGUUCGUAGCAAGCAGAGGUGCUAUCGAUGAGGAAAGGAAGAUCAACGAAACGUGGCCCUAGUGGGAGUCACAAUCAUGGUAGAUUAAAAUCAAGAAGUAAGAAGAAUGUCAAAUGCUACAAUUAUGGCAAGAAAGGGCAUAUAAAGAAAGAGUGUUGGAGUAACUAGAAAAGAAAAAAAAAAGGGUAAAGAUCCUAAGUCAUCAAAUGCUUAGGGGUGUGUAACAAGUAUCUCAAAUGAUGACAAAAUUCUCUAUAGCGAGGAAACAACUGUUACAGAAGGUUGGAAGCAGUUAGUUGAUAUCUAGUUUAUAAACUCAGAAGCAACAUGGCACAUGACUUCUUAGAGAGAAUAGUUCCAUAAAUAUGAACAUAUCUUAAGAGGAUCAGUGUACAUGGGUGAUAAUCAUGCCUUGAAAAUCACUAGUAUUAAUACCGUCAAAAUAAAAAUGUUUGAUGGUACAGUUCGCACAAUUAAUAAGGUACGACAUGUCAAGGGUUUAAAGAAAAAUCUCGUCUUUGGAACAAAUAGAUAGUCUUAGGUGCAAAACGUAUGUUAAAAAUGUGAUCAUGAAAAUUGCUAGAUGUGCGCCUAUAUUAAUGAAGGUGGAAAAGAUUAGUGUUAUAUUCCUUACAGUUACUGAUGAAACUCCAAUAGAACUUUGGUACUUCUCAAAUCUACUAACUGGUUUCUAUUGAGAGUUUUCAGAGAAUAGUGUAUUCUGGUUUAUAAACAUGUUUAUAAACAUGUGGCUCAUUACCUUUAGUGCUCAUAAGUAGAUAACAGUAUUUUGAAGAUGUUUAUGUUGGGAUCUUGGUUGUCUUUAAAAUUAGGAAGGAUGAUUUUCUUAAUGGUCUAUGUGUUGAAUAUGUUCAUAUGACUUUUUUAGUUGGGUUUUUAUUGAUAGACAUUUUUUAUUUGCUUCAGCAUGUGGAGUUACUUAUUACUGUAUAAUUCUACUUUGCAUCUUUGAUGAAUAGGAUGUUUCAGAGCUUUUUGAUAUUGUCUAGAGACUAAUUUAUGCUUAUACUGCAUUUCUUUUUCUUAUAAUAUCUUAUACCUUAAUCCAUAUAGUCUUUCUUUCCUCUCAACUCUUACCCAAUAAUUGAAUCAUUCUUUUUUGCACUUGAAGCCUAUGGCGAUAGAACAAGUAACGUCCAAUGAAGAUAGUGAGGAUGAAGUUGAUGAUGACAUUGCAGAUUUUGAAGAUCGGCGGGUAUGCGUGUAGAUUUGGUUGCUAUGUUUUGGUUCUUUCCUACGAUAAGAUUAUUGUUAGGCUAACAAAAAUUGCUUUCUUUUUGCCUUCCAAGUUAUGUGAAAUUAAUUUAAAUAUUUGAAGUAAUAUUUUGUAUUCUGUCAAGAAGGGUUUACUCCCCAACUCCUUUGCAUUCUUCUACAUUGAGAAAGCAAUGCGUUCUGAGGAAAGGACAUAGAGUAGGGCAUUAUAUUCUCUUAACUGCAGAGGCAUGGGGAUCAAUCUUUGAAGGAUCACUGUAAGAGUGUGUAAUGAGAGCAUGAAGAGUUCAAGUCAUUAUAACGAGUUUCUUAUGCUUAAUCUCACUAUGACAAGUAUUUACUGGCUUUGAGGAAAUUGGAUUGAAUUAGAAGAUAAGAACACCAUAUAGGUGGCUGUCUCUUCUUCUUACCUGUCAAACAAUAAUUUGGUCCUGUUUACUUCUGGCUUAUUGUUAUUUCUUGUAUGCUUUAUCAAGUUUCUAAAUAUUUAUCCCUUAUAUUUUGCCAUCAUAGAAUUAAUUCAACUAUGACUGUUUCAUGGUUGCUUUUGGCUUAGUUCUGUGGAACAGUAAGUGUAACCGGUUUCAGCUUCACCUCCUCAACACAUCCGUUUCCCCUUCCUUGUGUGCUCUCUGUCCCAGAUCUUGAACUGUUGAUUUUGAGGUUUUGUCUCAAAUAAAAUCAAAGAACCAGAAGAGUGAUUACAAUUUAUGCAAAUAUUAUAUCCAGAUUUCUGAUGCCUAACAAAGCUUAAGUUGGACUCUUAUAUGAAAUGUUUUCAUUUUAUGCUGUUAGGAACCUGGAAACAUUAUAUUAAAUUGGCAUGUUGCAGAUGCUUGAUGAUUUUGUGGAUGUUAGCAAAGAUGAGAAGCAGCUGAUGCAUCUUUGGAACUCCUUUGUCAGAAAGCAACGGUAGUUAUUGUUUCCCACUUAAAGCUUUCAAUUUUAUUUUUUUUGGGUCGCCCCAGUUCCAUAUAUUCUUUGUUUGUUUCCUUCAAUUCUUUUAUGUCAAGAUGUUUAGGAAAUUAAUGUAUAGGAGGUGAACUAUCUUAUGCAUUUUUCAUGCGAAAAAGAAAGGAAAAAAGAAAUAUCUUAGAAGGGUAUAUCCCACUGUGACAGGGUCCUGGCUGAUGGUCAUGUUCCUUGGGCAUGUGAAGCAUUUUCCAAACGUCAUGGACGGGAGCUUGUCCUCUCUCCAGCUCUAUUUUGGUGUUGGAGGCUGUUCAUGAUAAAACUGUGGAAUCAUGGCCUUCUUGAUGGCUGCACAAUGAAUAAUUGUAAUAUGAUUCUUGAAAAAUGUCGAGAUGAGGAAUCAGAUACUGGGAAAAGCUGAAGAGGACAGACUAACAAUCUCGGCUCGUGGGAGUGCAGAAAUAAGACAGUGCCUGUAACAUUGGUUCUUCUGUUACUCAAUUCUUCCUGAUAUCCUUUAACACAUUUUUUCAACACAUUUUUUCUACUUGUAUCAGUAGAUUGUAGAUGGAGUAAUUAAUUCUUUCGCAUACAAAGAAGUCAGCUGUAGUGAAUCGGCCAACUUGUCACUGUUGUUAGCUCAUUAUUCACUAUUAAGUGUUAUUGACACGAUAAUCGCCAUUUAUGAUUUACUCUUACGGAGGCAACUUAGGCGCCAAUCUAGUUGCUAAGAGUCAAUUGUAAAUGUUGGAGAGGGUCGCUGCUGUAGAUUGAUAUGUUAUAUAGCUCGAUAUGUUUAAGUGAAACUUGAUUUGAUCUUAUUCUGAGUACUGAUUGGGAAGUUGUCUCUGU